rnacentral:rRNA from 1 species
UAGCCACGGUAAUACCAGCUCUCCGAGUGGUGUGGAUGUUUAUUGGGCCUAAAGCAUCCGUAGCUGGCUGUUCAAGUCCCCUGUUAAACCCAGCGAUUUAAUCGUUGGUUUGCGGGGGAUACUGUUCGGCUAGGGGGCGGGAGAGGCAGACGGUAUUUCCGGGGUAGGGUGAAAUCCUAUAAUCCCGGGAAGACCACCAGUGGCGAAGGC